GACGUAGGAGGCGAGCGUUGUCCGGAUUCAUUGGGCGUAAAGAGCGCGCAGGCGGCUUGGUAAGUCGGAUGUGAAAAACCCGGAGGCUCAACCUCGGGCGGUGCAUCCGAAACUGCUCGGCUAGAGGUAGGUAGGGGAGAUCGGAAUUCCUGGGUGUAGCGGUGAAAUGCGCAGAUAUCGAGGAGGAACACCGAUGGCGAAGGCAGGUCUCGUGGGCCAUAACUGACGCUGAGAAGCGAAAGCAUGGGGAGCGAACAGG
rnacentral:rRNA from 1 species